rnacentral:rRNA from 1 species
UACAGAGGGGGCAAGCGUUGUUCGGAAUUACUGGGCGUAAAGGGCGCGUAGGCGGCCUUCUAAGUCGAACGUGAAAUCCCCGGGCUCAACCCGGGAACUGCGUCCGAUACUGGAAGGCUUGAAUCCGGGAGAGGGAUGCGGAAUUCCAGGUGUAGCGGUGAAAUGCGUAGAUAUCUGGAGGAACACCGGUGGCGAAGGCGGCUCUCUGGAACGCAACUGACGCUGAGACGCGAAAGCGUGGGGAGCAAACAGG